AGAAGAAGACUAGGUCUGUCAAGGCUAUACAGAAACUGUCCAACACUUGGACUUUGCACUGUUGCUGAAUGUGGUUAUUAGCUCCGAGAGUUUUUUUUUUAAUAUUUUGGGGUUUUCUUUAUAAAGGAUAGAUCAUCUACAAAUACUUCUUGCUUUUCAAUUUAGAUGAUGUUUCCUUUCCUGCCCAAUUUAUCUGGUUAAAACGUCUGAUACACUGUUGAAUAGAAGAGGCAAGGGCACAUGUUCAUGUCUUGUUCCUGAUAUUGGGAGAAAGCAUCCCGUUUUUCACCACUCUGGCCAGGACAGCCUAUCUGUGCAGGAGGCAUUGCUGGCACCCCGUGGGGACUGAGGACCAAGGAGGAGCUGCUCCCCCACACACGGUUCGUACUUCUGCUCUGUGAAGAGAGACAACUGUGCCCUGUCACCUUCACUGAACUAUGAGGAUAUUUUUAUAAGACAUCUAUUUCCCAGAUGAGAUAUUCCCUGACAAGUUUUAGGAUAUCAUUAUGUUGUCUGCUGGCUCAUCAACUGAGAAAUCAGCUGCCAGUCUUAUUGUUGUCUCUGUAAAGGAAUGUGUUUUUCACAUCUGGCUACGGCACUUACCCAAGAAACGGGGUUUCACCAUGUUAGCCAAGAUGGUCUCGAUCUCCUGACCUCGCGAUCCGCCCGCCUUGGCCUCCCAAAGUGCUGGGAUUAUGCAUUCUCUCUUUACAUCACAAUGACCAUGACCUUGGAUAUGGAGUCCACUCAAAAGUAAUCUGAACUAAUAAACAAAUUCUGCAAGGUUGAAGAAUACAAGGUCAAUAAAAAUAAUUAAUUAUAUUUCUAUGUGAUACAAUAAACAAUCUUAAAAUUAAGAAAAAAAAUUCAUUUACAGUAGAAUAACAAAAAAAUACUUAAAAAUAAGUUUAAUCGUGAGAUACAAAUUGGUACCCUGAAAACUACAAAACAUUCCUGAACAAUAUUAAAGGUCUAAAUAAAUGGAAAA
ensembl:lncRNA novel transcript